rnacentral:rRNA from 1 species
AUUGAACGCUGGCGGCAGGCCUAACACAUGCAAGUCGAACGAGUGGCGGACGGGUGAGUAAUGUAUGGGCAACUGCCCGAUGGAGGGGGAUAACUACUGGCAACGGUUGCUAAUACCGCAUCCUAUCGGAUGUACCCAGAUGGGAUUAGCUGGUUGGUGGGGUAAAGGCUCACCAAGGCGACGAUCUCUAGCUGGUCGGAGAGGAUGCCCAGCCACACUGGGACUGAGACACGGCCCAGACUCCUACGGGAGGCAGCAGUGGGGAAUAUUGCACAAUGGGCGAAAGCCUGAUGCAGCCAUGCCGCGUGUAUGAAGAAGGCCUUAGGGUUGUAAAGUACUUUCAGCGGGGAGGCGUUACCCGCAGAAGAAGCACCGGCUAACUCCGUGCCAGCCGCCGCGGUAAUAC